GACUCCCAAUUAAGCACCCUCCCCGUGCCCCUGUGUGCCUCCGGGCUCCCCAUUAAACCACCCCAAGCCAUGGGGUGCCUCUGGGCUCUCUGUUAAACAGCCCCCUGGCCUCGGGGCUCUCUUAAAUCCUCUUCUUGGCUGGGGGGGGGGCCUCCUGUCUCCCCAUUAGACACCCCCCAGCCACGGGGAACCCCCAGGCUCCCCCUUAAAUCACCCCAAGGCAAUGGGGUGCCUCCAGGCUCCCUGUUAAAUUCCACACCCCAGCCAUGGGGUGCCUCCAGGCUCCCCAUUAACCCCUCCCCCAGUUCCUCGGGUGGCUCCAGGCCCCCAGUUAAACUUCCCUCUAGUUGUGGGGUGCUUCUGGGCUCCCCAUUAACCCCCCUCUCCAAAUUCCUCUGGUGCCUUCAGGCUCCCCAUUAACCCCGCCUUGCCUCUGGGCUCCCAGUUAAACACUUCUCUGGCCACCGGGUGCCUCCAGGCUCCCCAUUAACCCCCCCACAAGCACCCAAGUGCUUCCAGGCUCCCUGUUAAACACCCUGCUGGCCUCUGGGCUCCCCAUUAAGCCCCCCCCAGCCACGGGGUGCCUCUGGGCUCCCCAUUAAGCCCCCCCCAGCCACGGGGUACCUCUGGGCUCCCCAUUAAACCCCCCUGAGUGCCUUCCUCUUCCCCACACUGACCUCAUCUCCCUCUUUUUUUCUCCCCCCCUCCCCAGGCAGCAACUUUGGCGGCGGGGGGAACUACAACGACUUCGGCAGUUACAACAACCAGUCGUCCAAUUUCGGCCCCAUGAAGGGGGGCAACUUCGGGGGCAGGAGCUCGGGGCCGUACGGCGGCGGCGGCUACGGCAGCUCGAGUGGCGGCGGCAGCUACGGCGGCGGCAGGAGGUUUUAACACCCAGGAAACAAAGCUUAGCGGGAGAGGCGAGCCAGAGAAGGGACAGGGAAGCUGCAGGUUACACCAGUUGUGAACUCGGCCCACUCACAGCUGUGGCGGGGGGUGGCUGCUCCAUGAAGACGUGUGUUAGACAGAAGUCUCCUUUGCGAAACAGGACUGUGUUUGUGACUAAUUGUACAACAGGUUAUUUUAGUUUUCUGUGCCGUGGAAGCAUUCCGACGAGGCCUCCCGGAAGCCUCGGUUUUAUUUGCGCGCCCGUGCUGUCGAUCGCUAACUGUAACACAACAUGACGCUGAAUAAAUGUGUCUUUUUUUUUUUUUUUUUUAUUAUUAUUUUUAUUUUUUUAUAUAUAUUUACAUUUCUGACCUCUACACCACUCUGGUGUUGGCCGCUGCGGGGCGCAGCCUGGUCCCCCUCCAACUCCGACCCAGGGCAGACUAGCUCAGGCUCUUUCCCCCCCACCGUCCCCACACACGCACCCCCAGCCCCAUUUCGCCCUUCAUGGGCCCCGUACACACCCACGCCCCCACUCCAU
rnacentral:lncRNA from 1 species